AGAACAGAUCCACCCGUCUUAUGGGUUCCUGCUCCCACAGCAGCCUGAAAUGAGUGAAACUUGAGAAUUGAACUCUUUGCUUCUGGUUACCACAAGCCAAACCCCUUCUCUUUUUGCACAGGGGGGCAUGCGUUUCUUUUGAAGAAAACAACUCGCAUGUCCCAUUGAAGAACAGCUGAGGAUACGAAAGGAAGGAGCGGAUGAGGAAGGAGAGAGAAGCAGACAAAAGAAGCCGCCUGCAGCUGCGUGGAGUGUCGUGUCUCGGGAGAACGAUAGCUGGCCAUCCACUUGGUUUCUUUAAUAUUUUUCAUCGGUAAACCGCGUCAAGGGCGGGGGAGCUCUGAAGGCCGAGCGCGUGCAUUCGGAUAUUUCGAGGUGCGUCGUAUUGAGGGACUUGAUACCGGACUGAGCGCAUCUUAUAUCGCUCGAUAUAAGCAGAACAAAGGCAGUCUUGAGCGAGGAAUGCACGAGCCGAGCCUGGCGCCACCGAAACAGGGCCAAAUGUGCUUCUGAGACCCACAGAAAGGCGCACACUCUUCUGAAACAACACUCUUCUUUAGGCAACACCGAAACGCAACCCCCUCAAACCGCAACUAACCCGUUAUUUAUCAUGUUUCCCCAAAGUCGAGCUCCGGCACCUUUGCAACCACCACCCGGGUCUUCUGCUUCA